rnacentral:tRNA from 1 species
UCCUCAGUAGCUCAGUGGUAGAGCACUCGGCUGUUAACCGAUUGGUCGUGGGUUCGAAUCCGACUUGAGGAGA